AGAGAUCUGGAGGAAUACCGGUGGCGAAGGCGGCCCCCUGGACGAAGACUGACGCUCAGGUGCGAAAGCGUGGGGAGCAAACAGGAUUAGAUACCCUGGUAGUCCACGCCGUAAACGAUGUCGACUUGGAGGUUGUGCCCUUGAGGCGUGGCUUCCGGAGCUAACGCGUUAAGUCGACCGCCUGGGGAGUACGGCCGCAAGGUUAAAACUCAAAUGAAUUGACGGGGGCCCGCACAAGCGGUGGAGCAUGUGGUUUAAUUCGAUGCAACGCGAAGAACCUUACCUGGUCUUGACAUCCACGGAAGUUUUCAGAGAUGAGAAUGUGCCUUCGGGAACCGUGAGACAGGUGCUGCAUGGCUGUCGUCAGCUCGUGUUGUGAAAUGUUGGGUUAAGUCCCGCAACGAGCGCAACCCUUAUCCUUUGUUGCCAGCGGUCCGGCCGGGAACUCAAAGGAGACUGCCAGUGA
rnacentral:rRNA from 1 species